CGAGUAAGCCGGGCAGCCGCGGGAUAAACUCCAAAGGGUUUAUCGUGAGGAAAGUCCGGGCUCCGCAGGGCAAGGAUAACGGGUAACACCCGCCGAAGGCAACUUCAGGACAAGUGCAACAGAGAUAUACCACCAAAAACCGCUUUGCGUUUUUUGGCCAGGGUGGAAAAGUGAGGUAAGGGCUCACUCGACGGCUGGAGACAGUCCGUCGCUGUAAACUCUAUCCGGAGCAACACCGUGGAGAGAGCAGAAUUUCGGUAUUCAAGGCCGGCCCGGCCCGCUCUCAGGAGGUGGCUUGAGCCCAUCGGCAACGAUGGGCCUAGAUAGAUGGCUGCCUAAGAGAUUCUUGUCUCGGCUUACGCCUCGACAAUAAUUUCUGGACAGAAUCCGGCUUACAGGCUUGCUCGUAUA
rnacentral:RNase_P_RNA from 1 species